ensembl:lncRNA SDHAP4 SDHA pseudogene 4
GGUGCGCAGGCGCAGUCUGCGCAGGGACUGGCGGGACUGCGCGGAGGCGACUGCAGACGUAUCGGGGGUCCGGAGCCUGUCGCGGCUGCUAAGCGCUCGGCGCCUGGCGCUGGCGCUGGCCAAGGCUUGGCCAACAGUGUUGCAAACAGGAACCCGAGGUGUUCACUUCACUGUUGAAGGAACGAGAGGGCAUCUGCUAAAGUUUCAGAUUCCAUUUCUGCUCAGUAUCCAGUAGUGGAUCAUGAAUUUGAUGCAGUGGUGGUAGGCGCUGGAGGGGCAGGCUUUGCGAGCUGCAUUUGGCCUUUCCGAGGCAGAGUUUGAUACAGCAUGUGUUACCAAGCUGUUUCCUACCAGGUCACACACUGUUGCAGCGCAGCUAGAAAAUUAUGGCAUGCCGUUUAGCAGAACUGAAGAUGGGAAGAUUUAUCAGCGUGCAUUUGGUGGACAGAGCCUCAAGUUUGGAAAGGGCAGGCAGGCCCAUCGGUGCUGCUGUGUGGCUGAUCGGACCGGCCACUCAAUAUUGCACACCUCAUAUGGGAGGUCUCUGAGAUAUGAUACCAGCUGUUUUGUGGAGUAUUUUGCCUUGGAUCUCCUGAUAGAGAACAGGGAGUGCCGUGGUGUCAUUGCACUGUGCAUAGAGGACGGGUCCAUCCAUCACAUAAGAGCAAAGAACACUGUUGUUGCCACAGGAGUCAAGAAACUUUUCUUUUGAGCUAUUGACAGCUUUUAACAAGUUAUUAUACUCCUAUGAACAAAAUUUGGAGCAUAUUUGUUUCUCUCUGCCUGAUUUCUCCUGAAUUUGGAAACUAUUUUGCCAUGGUCUCCAUGAACUGAUUUUUUUGUGCAGUGGGCAGGAAGAACCCAUCGGGCAGCUACACAUCUUGAAAGAGAAGCUCUUCCUGUGAGGGAACGCAGAACGCUCUGGCACCUUCAACAGACUUGCCCCUUGGGGAGCUCUGGAGACAGCCACAGCAGCGCCCCUGGAGACCCCCGGCUGAAGGGACAGCAGCGAGAGGCCUCCCCACAAGGAGCCUGACAGCGGCUGGACUGAAGACUGUGAGGGAGCUGAGCCACAGUGCAUCCAAGCUGCUCCAGGUGGGGCACGCUGGCUCAUACCUGUAACCCCAGCACUUUGGGAGGACAAGGCUGGCAGAUUGCUUGAGCUCAGGAGUUCGAGACCAGCCUGGGCAACAUGGCAAAACCAUAUCCUACAAAAA